rnacentral:lncRNA from 1 species
UAUUGACUUGCUUUCUUUGAUGGUUCCAGCUCGAGAGAUCUCUGGGUUUCUUAUUUCUUUAGCUGUUAUUACUUCGGAUCUUUAUCCGUGUGGUAGACCUCUUGAUCCCUUUAUCUUUCCCGCAUUUUACGGCUUUCUUAGCUGGAAGACCUCGAUAGGAGGCAAUGUUUUCUUUUGUUUGUUUACUUUUGUGCCCAAAGACCUCCAAAAGGAGGCACCAGUGCUAAAGACCUCCAUGAAGAGGCAAUUGACGGAUAAAAGGGAUUAGUAAUCAAUCCCCCAUUAU